UCAGCACUCAAGCCCCGCCCAGCUCCUUCAGGCCCGCCCCUUCGCUACAGCGGACGUCACUGCCCGCCCCCUAGGCUACCUAGGGCCAACCCUCCGCCACCAAAGCCCCGCCCCAGACGAUGACCUCAUUGCUGACAUCCCGCCCCCAAGUCUACCACAACUCGCAGCCCGGAAGUCUGCCCCACGGCACCGCCGCCAACCUCAGCACUCAUAGCCCCGCCCCAGUUACUCCCUCACAACUGCGGCCCCGCCCUGUGCCUGAUAAGCCUGAGCUCCUCCCUGACAAGCUGCCCGGCCUCAUCCCGCCUCUUCCUUCUCCUCUGCUUAAUUUCCUCCUGCUACUCCCCCCCAGCUUUCGGAAUCCUGAACCCUGGUGCUGGCCUGAUAGGCCUGCGAGCCACAGGGCCCGCCAAGCCCAAGAGUAUCUACUAGCACGGCUUGGCGGACGUAAGUACGUGUUUACGCAAGUGCGUGUCUUCCUACCCAGAUGCGUACCUGCAUGCCUGUAGGCCUGAUUGGCUGAGCCGACCGCGCUGCUUAAGUGCGUGUGGCGUGCGUACGUAAGUACGUGGGAUGGGCGCUAAUGCCGGUACGUGCCUAUGUAGGCCCCUCCUAAGCGGGCCUACGGAGGGUCUGGGAUGAGGCGGAAGAGUGAUUGCCUGCGAGCUGCGGCUGGCGACCUGGCAUUCCACGCAGGCUACAGCAGGGGCGGCACAGCUGCGACGCGGGCCGGUCGCACUCCGCACAGUCUAGUCGCCUCGCGAAAGCGCCAGAGCCCCUCGUCCAUACUCUGGCGCCGUGGCCGGACGCCGGCAGGAGGAGGACAGUCCUGGCCGCUGCCUGGGGCCUGAGUUGGCGCAAUGCGCAUGCGUGCAGAGACUGCAGCUCCGCCAAGGAUGAGGGCGCUGGUGGCUGUACUGCCCGGGCCGGGCCGUGUGCUCCACCUGCAGCAGAGGGUCCCCUGGGCUGGGCUGCCUUGGUGGCGGAUCCCGCAGGAGGGCGCCCUGCACUGCUCCC
rnacentral:lncRNA from 1 species